GGGAGUUGAAAACCUGGACAUUGCACAUUUCAUGUUUGCCACACGGGGAACAGGGAGAGCAAGUUUCAUCGCAUCCACCAUCAGAGAAUAGAGAGACUUCGGUGUGACGUCUGGGUUGCAGUUACCAGCAAGUACCAUGAUAUUCUUCAUUCUCUGGAGGAGGAUGGUCUGCUCGACAUUUUUGAUGUCGUUCUACUCUUUGGUGUGAACUACAUCUUUGUUCCUCGACUCCAGGCAACCUUUAUUGGAGGAUGGAAUAAUCAUCCUCUACGGACAGAGGCCGAUCUCACUCCUGAACAGCUGUGGAGUAUAAGACAUCUCCAAUCGCUAGGAGCUUCAUGAUCCAGGCAUUGACUGGGAGAGUGCUGUACUGCAAGAAGACUCUAAUGACACAGUUGUUGUUGUUGUUGAAUGCCCACUGGAUGAAGAAACCUUGGAAGGACUUCAGAGAACCAUCAAUCCUCUGGAACAUUCUCAGUCACAUGGUUAUGACUUGUACAUAGUUCUUACACAUGCUGUCAAACCAACAAUGACAUUUCAAUGAUGAAAUCUGCAUCAGGCUAUAAAGAAGGAGCGAAUGCAGAUUUGGUAAAGUAUUCAAAGGUGAACUAUAGGAAAUACAUAAAGCAUACAGUCCAGAACAGGGGUUGUCUGCAACAAAAGUUAUAAUACUAACUCUGGUGAUCUUCCCAGGAACAAACAGGGUGUGGCAAGUUUCGGGUUUUGCAGCCAUCUGGUUCACCAGACCAUACAGUUCUAUGCACUAUUGCUGCAGCACUGGAAUCAGUCUUGAGUGCAAGACAAUUGCUCUUUGAUAAAAAA